rnacentral:rRNA from 1 species
AAUUUUUGGUCAAGCUACAAAGAGUCUAUGAGGAAUGACUUGGUCAAUUAAGGCGAAGAAGGACGUGGUAAGCGGCGAUACGCCCGGAGGAGCUGCAAACAAGCUUUGAUUCCGGGAUGUCCGAAUGGGGCAACCCAUCCCGAGUAAUGUUGGGAUAUCCCGUAUUAAAUUAAAUAGGUGCGGGAAGCGAAACCGGGGGAAGUGAAACAUCUCAGUACCCUGAGGAAGAGAAACCGAAUGGUAUUCCCUUAGUAGCGGCGAGCGAAGCGGGAAGAGCCUAAAUUUCGAUGACGCAAUAGCCUGUGCGCGUUGUCAUCGGAACGUUGUGGGACUGUUUAGAUACCUGUACAGAGGCAUCGGGAAGUAAAAAAAUCUCUAUUCAGCAGAAAGAUUUGGAAAAGUCUGCCAAAGAAGGUGAAAGCCCGGUAUGCGAAAAGUAGAGAUCUUCCUUGAACGGUAUCCCGAGUACUACGGAGCACGCGAAAUUCCGUAGGAAUCCGCCCUGACCACAGGGCAAGGCUAAAUACUCUAAUUGGACCGAUAGUGCACAAGUACCGUGAGGGAAAGUUGAAAAGAACCCCAGUGAGGGGAGUGAAAUAGAACCUGAAUUCAUAGACUUACAAGCGGUCGGAGCCCUAUGUCACGCGCAAGCGUGGAACGGGUGACGGCGUGCCUUUUGCAUAAUGAACCGGCGAGUUAUACAGAUAAGCAAGCUUAAUCCUCUUUAGGGGAGGAGGCGUAGGGAAACCGAGUCUGAAUAGGGCGAUUAGUUUGUCUGUAUAGACCCGAAGCUGAGUGAUCUACCCAUGACCAGUGCGAAGUGUACCGAAAGGUACAUGGAGGUACGAACCCAUGAAUGUUGAAAAAUUCCGGGAUGAGUUGUGGGUCGGAGUGAAAGGCUAAUCAAACUCAGGAAUUGCUGGUUCUCCUCGAAACGUCUUUAGGGACGGCCUUGAGUAAAUGAGCGAUGAGUGUAGAGUGCUGAAUGGGCUAGGGACCCCACCAGGUUGCCAAACCCAACCAAACUCCGAAAAUCAUCGUUUCUUAUCUCGGGAGACAGACAGUGCGGGCUAAGCUGCAUUGUCAAAAGGGAGACAGCCCAGACCGCCAGUUAAGGUCCCAAAGGAUAGGCUAAGUGGUAAAGGAUGUGGGGUAACAUAGACAACCAGGAUGUUGGCUCAGAGGCAGCCAUCAUUUAAAGAGUGCGUAACAGCUCACUGGUCGAGUUAUUCUGCGCCUAAGAUAAUCGGGGCUCAAGCCUAUUACCGAAACUGCGGAUUUACCCCGCCUUAGGGCGGGGCAAGUGGUAGAGGAGCGUACUGUUGUAGGUUGAAGGUGGACCGAGAGGACCACUCGACGAAGCAGUAGUGAUUAUGUCGGUAUGAGUAGCGCAAAUCACGGCGAGAAACCGUGACGCCGAAAGUCUAAGGUUUCCUGGGGAAGGUUAAUCCGCCCAGGGUGAGUCGAUCCUAAGCCGAGGCUGUUGAACGCGUAGGCGAUGGAUAUCCGGUUAAUAUCCCGGAACUGGUCAAAGGCGCUAUUACUUUGAUGUUGACGCAGGAGGUUGGGGUCAGCGGACUGUUGGAUGUGUCCGUCUAAGCCUGUAGUUUUAUCCGCAAGGGUAAGAUGAGGGGUGAAUGCGAAGCCGAUCUACGGAAAGGCUGAAGUGAUCUUAGGCCACACUGUCGAGAAAAUUCAUCAAAGGAGCCUUUGUCCAAUCGUACCGCAAUCCGACACAGGUAGACUUCCAUAAUAUGGUAAGGCGAUCGAGAGAACCCUCGUUAAGGAACUCGGCAAUCUAGCCUCGUAAGUUCGCAAGAAGAGGUGCCCUAAUGUGUGUAGCCCAUACGGGUGAAGCAUGAUAGGGUUUCAAUGAAGUGGCUCUGGUGACUGUUUAGCAAAAACCAAGCACUCUGCUAACUCGAAAGAGGACGUAUAGGGUGUGACACCUGCCCGGUGCUGGAAGGUUAAGGAGAGAGGUUAGCCCGUCGUAAGGCGAGUCGAAGCUUCGAACCGAAGCCCCAGUAAACGGCGGCCGUAACUAUAACGGUCCUAAGGUAGCGAAAUUCCUUGUGGGGUAAGUUCCCACGCGCACGAAUGG